rnacentral:tRNA from 1 species
UGGCCGGGGCUCAGCGGUAGAGCGCUCACCUCGCACGUGGGAGAGCAGGGUUCCAUCCUCAGCUGCACAU